rnacentral:rRNA from 1 species
GUCGUAACAAGGUUUCCGUAGGUGAACCUGCGGAAGGAUCAUUACAAAUCAUUAUGCUGGCGCCUCGGUUGAGGGGUCUAGCACAUGUGCCCGGACUGCUAUCGUCUUUCAUGAUGAUAGCAGUCUGUGACAUAUAUUUACGCUUGUUGUGUUUGACAGAGUUUAUAUUAUUACACAUAUAAAAAUAGACAACUUUUAACAAUGGAUCUCUUGGCUCUUGCAACGAUGAAGAACGCAGUAAAGUGCGAUAUGUAAUGCGAUUUGCAUGAAUCUGUGAGUCAUCUAAUCUUUGAACGCAACUUGCACCCAUUCGUGGGUAUGUCUGUUUGAGUACCGCAAAUCAUUAUAUCCAGCAAUGGAUGAUCUGAGGAUUAUCUCUCCCUUUCUUUGUGAGAGAUUUCCUUGAAAAUGAGCAAGCGGGCAAUCAUUGCUAGCUGUCAUGUGCUAGAGACUUUUAGUCUUGUCACGGCACACUGGUGAUGAACCCAGUUCCAUCCUCCUCUUCUUUUGGGGGGAGGAUGAACAAUUUUUGUAUUUUGGUCUCAAAUCAGUCAAGACUACCCGCUGAACUUAAGCAUAUCAGUAAGCGGAGGAAAAGAAACUAACAAGGAUUCCCCUAGUAACGGCGAGUGAAGCGGGAAUAGCUCAAAUUUGUAAUCUCGGCGGUUUCCGUCGCGAAUUGUAAUCUAAAGAGGGUGAUCUAGGUGUGAGCAUGGCUGACAAAGUUCCUUGGAAUAGGACGCCUGAGAGGGUGAGAGCCCCGUAAAGUCAGCUUGAGCACACUAAAGUGAGAACCUUUCAAAGAGUCGAGUUGUUUGGGACUGCAGCUCAAAAUGGGUGGUAAAUCUCAUCUAAGGCUAAAUAUUGGCAAGAGACCGAUAGCGAACAAGUACCGUGAGGGAAAGAUGAAAAGCACCUUGAAAAGGGAGUUAAAUAGUACGUGAAAUUGUUAAAAGGGAAACGAUUGAGACCAGUAUUGGAGUGGGAUUGUGAUGGCUAGAUUUCGGUCUGGUCAGAGCGCCUGCUGCGAGUCAAUGUCAAUUGAGCUGGCUGGAUAUGCACUGGUGGAAGGUGGGCUCUCUCUUCGGAUUGGGUCUUUAUAGACACUGGAUGUUGCAGCCGGAGCGAUUGGUAGAAGAGGGAUGCAUGCCUGGAUCUGGCUGGCAAGCUUGUGCACGACAUGUCGAGUACCGGCCCAACAGACAGCGAAGGGUAUUCUUACCGAUUCGUCCUUGACGAAAUGGUCUUAAACGAC